GAUGAACGCUGGCGGCGUGCUUAACACAUGCAAGUCGAACGAAGAUGCCGGAGUGCUUGCACUUUGGCAGACUGAGUGGCGGACGGGUGAGUAACGCGUGGGUAACCUGCCUUAUACAGGGGGAUAACAGUUGGAAACGACUGCUAAUACCGCAUAAGCGCACGGUAUCGCAUGAUACAGUGUGAAAAACUCCGGUGGUAUAAGAUGGACCCGCGUCUGAUUAGCUUGUUGGUGAGGUAACGGCCCACCAAGGCGACGAUCAGUAGCCGGCCUGAGAGGGUGAACGGCCACAUUGGGACUGAGACACGGCCCAAACUCCUACGGGAGGCAGCAGUGGGGAAUAUUGCACAAUGGGGGAAACCCUGAUGCAGCGACGCCGCGUGAGUGAUGACGCCCUUCGGGUGUAAACACUGUCAGUAGGACGAAUUUGACGGUACCUACAGAGGAAGCACCGGCUAACUCCGUG
rnacentral:rRNA from 1 species